ACGAACGCUGGUGGCGGGCCUAAUACAUGCAAGUCGAACGAGAAAGUCCUUCGGGAUGAGUAUAGUGGCGCACGGGUGAGUAACACGUAGGUGACCUACCCUUUAGUGUGGGACAACCCGGGGAAACUCGGGCUAAUACCGCAUAAGUUGGGCGAACUUGAAAGUAGCUCAAGAAAGAUUUAUCGCUGAAGGAAGGGCUUGCGUAUCAUUAGCUAGAUGGUGGGGUAAUGGCCUACCAUGGCGACGAUGAUUAACUGGUCUGAGAGGAUGAUCAGUCACACUGGAACUGAGACACGGUCCAGACUCCUACGGGAGGCAGCAGUAGGGAAUAUUGCGCAAUGGGGGAAACCCUGACGCAGCCACGCCACGUGAGUGAGGAAGGCCUUCGGGUUGUAAAGCUCUGUCAGUAGGGAAAAAUGGCCCUUAAUUGGGAGAUGAUGGUACCUACAAAGGAAGCACCGGCUAACUUCGU
rnacentral:rRNA from 1 species